CUCACUUAGGACCCAUUAAGCUAUAAUAGCUUAGGGUGUGUGAUGAGGGACAGGCAAGCAAAGAAGCUCUAAAAGAAGGGUAAUUUCUUUAGGCAUUUAACCAGGGGGUGAUGAGGAGUCUUGGGAUUUUGUGCAAAGAAGGAACAAAAUUGGAUUUUCAUGUCAGAAAGACUACUCUGUGUCAUCAACUUAGCCCAUGUUAGCGGUUGUUCAUAGAGAUGUUGUUCAAAGGAGGAAAAAGAGGAGUGAGGAAUAAAGAAGCCCAUUUCAGAGUGAGUGAGUGAAUGUGAAGAAAGAAAGGAGAUGACCAAAUGCAACAGAGUCUUGCUGUUGCCUCAGCUAAAGUGCAGUG